rnacentral:rRNA from 1 species
AUACGUAGGUGGCGAGCGUUGUCCGGAAUUACUGGGCGUAAAGGGUGCGUAGGCGGUAAGGCAAGUCAGAUGUGAAAAUCCAGGGCUCAACUCUGGGAGUGCAUUUGAAACUGGUUUACUAGAGUGCAGGAGAGGGAAGCGGAAUUCCUAGUGUAGCGGUGAAAUGCGUAGAUAUUAGGAAGAACACCAGUGGCGAAGGCGGCUUUCUGGACUGUAACUGACGCUGAAGCACGAAAGCGUGGGUAGCGAACAGGAUUAGAUACCCUGGUAGUCCACGCUGUAAACGAUGAGUGUUAGGUGUAGGGGACGAUAGUCUUCUGUGCCGGAGCAAACGCAAUAAACACUCCGCCUGGGGAGUACGGUCGCAAGACUAAA